rnacentral:rRNA from 1 species
UACGAAGGGGGCUAGCGUUGUUCGGAAUCACUGGGCGUAAAGCGCACGUAGGCGGGUCGUUAAGUCAGGGGUGAAAUCCCGAGGCUCAACCUCGGAACUGCCUUUGAUACUGGCGACCUUUGAGUCCGGGAGAGGUGAGUGGAACUCCGAGUGUAGAGGUGAAAUUCGUAGAUAUUCGGAAGAACACCAGUGGCGAAGGCGGCUCACUGGCCCGGUACUGACGCUGAGGUGCGAAAGCGUGGGGAGCAAACAGG